rnacentral:rRNA from 1 species
UACGUAGGGAGCAAGCGUUGUCCGGAAUCAUUGGGCGUAAAGCGCGCGUAGGCGGCCUGCUAAGUCGAACGUGAAAUCCCCGGGCUCAACCCGGGAACUGCGUCCGAUACUGGCAGGCUUGAAUUCGGGAGAGGGAUGUGGAAUUCCAGGUGUAGCGGUGAAAUGCGUAGAUAUCUGGAGGAACACCGGUGGCGAAGGCGGCAUCCUGGACCGAGAUUGACGCUGAUGCGCGAAAGCCAGGGGAGCAAACGGG